CCUACGUGCGGCAGCAGUGAGGAAUAUUGGUCAAUGGACGAGAGUCUGAACCAGCCAAGUAGCGUGAAGGAUGACUGCACUCUGGGUUGUAAACUUCUUUUAUAUGGGAAUAAAAUGUUCCAUGUGUGGGAUUUAGUAUGUACCUUAUGAAUAAGGAGCGGCUAACUCCGUGCCAGCAGCCGCGGUAAUACGGAGGAUCCGAGCGUUUUCCGGAAUUAUUGGGUUUACAGGGAGCGUAGGUGGAUUGUUAAGUCAGUUGUGAAAGUUUGCGGCUCAACCGUAAAAUUGCAGUUGAAACUGGCAGUCUUGAGUACAGUAGAGGUGGGCGGAAUUCGUGGUGUAGCGGUGAAAUGCUUAGAUAUCACGAAGAACUCCGGUUGCGAAGGCAGCUCCCUGGACUGCAACUGACACUGAGGCUCGAAAGUGUGGGUAUCAAACAGGAUUAGAUACCCCUGUAGUC
rnacentral:rRNA from 1 species